ensembl:rRNA 5S_rRNA 5S ribosomal RNA
UGGUGCAGCCAUGCUCUCCUGGACAUGCCUGAUCUCUGUCUGAUCUCAAAAGCCAAACAGGCUUGGCUACUCCUUAGAUGGAGACCACUUGGGACGACCAGUUGUUGUAAGUU